UACGUAGGGGGCAAGCGUUAUCCGGAAUUACUGGGUGUAAAGGGAGCGUAGGCGGCAAUACAAGUCAGAUGUGAAAGCCCGAAGCUUAACUUC
rnacentral:rRNA from 1 species